rnacentral:tRNA from 1 species
GGGGCCAUGGUGCAACUGGUAGCACAACGGGGCGUCAUCCCGGAAGUGCCGAUUCAAGCUCGGCUGGCUCCA